rnacentral:rRNA from 1 species
CAGGCCUAACACAUGCAAGUCGAGGGGUAACAUUGGUGCUUGCACCAGAUGACGACCGGCGCACGGGUGCGUAACGCGUAUGCAACCUACCUUAUACAGAGGGAUAGCCCUAAGAAAUUGGGAUUAAUACCUCAUAAUUAUUAUGAUCUGCAUGGAUUGUAAUUUAAAGCUCCGGCGGUAUAAGAUGGGCAUGCGUAGUAUUAGCUAGUUGGUGAGGUAACGGCUCACCAAGGCAGUGAUACUUAGGGGUUCUAAAAGGAAGGUCCCCCACACUGGUACUGAGACACGGACCAGACUCCUACGGGAGGCAGCAGUGAGGAAUAUUGGUCAAUGGACGCAAGUCUGAACCAGCCAUGCCGCGUGCAGGACUACUGCCCUAUGGGUUGUAAACUGCUUUUAUCUACCGUGAAACCCAGAUACGAGUAUUUGGCUGACAGUAGUAAAUGAAUAAGCAUCGGCUAACUCCGUGCCAGCAGCCGCGGUAAUACGGAGGAUGCGAGCGUUAUCCGGAUUUAUUAGGUUUAAAGGGUGCGUAGGCUGUAGAAUAAGUCAGUGGUGAAAUCCCGUAGCUCAACUACGGAACUGCCAUUGAUACUGUUUUACUUGAGUAUAGUUGAGGCAGGCGGAAUG